rnacentral:rRNA from 1 species
UACGUAGGGACCAAGCGUUGUCCGGAAUCAUUGGGCGUAAAGAGCGUGUAGGCGGCUUGUUAAGUCUUGCGUGAAAUCUCGGGGCUCAACCCCGAGCGGUCGUGAGAAACUGGCAGGCUAGAGUGCGGGAGAGGAGAGUGGAAUUCCUGGUGUAGCGGUGAAAUGCGCAGAUAUCGGAAGGAACACCAGUGGCGAAAGCGGCUUCCUGGUCCAGCACCGACGUUCAGGCACGAAAGCGUGGGGAGCAAACAGG